rnacentral:rRNA from 1 species
UAAGGAAUAUUGGUCAAUGGACGCAAGUCUGAACCAGCCACGCCGCGUGCAGGAAGACGGCCCUAUGGGUUGUAAACUGCUUUUGUUUGGGAAGAAACCCCUUUUGCGAAAGGGACUGACGGUACCAGACGAAUAAGCACCGGCUAACUCCGUGCCAGCAGCCGCGGUAAUACGGAGGGUGCAAGCGUUAUCCGGAAUUAUUGGGUUUAAAGGGUGCGUAGGCGGCCAAAUAAGUCAGGGGUGAAAGGCGUCAGCUCAACUGUCGCAGUGCCUUUGAUACUGUUUGGCUUGAAUGUGGUUGAAGAUGGCGGAAUGAGACAAGUAGCGGUGAAAUGCAUAGAUAUGUCUCAGAA